rfam:Gossypium hirsutum cultivar TM-1 unplaced genomic scaffold scaffold1659.1, whole genome shotgun sequence
UAUUAAAAAAUUCACUCAUUUCUAUUGUUAAAAGCUAACAUGACUAACAAAAUAACUAAAUAGUGACACGUGACAUCCCACGUGUACAUCAUGUUGACGUAUAUGAAUUAAUUUUUAACAAUAGAAAUGAAUGAAACUUUUAAUA